UUGUUAUCACGAAAGGCGGAGGGAUUAGACCCGAUGAAGCCUUAGCAACCCUUUAAGCUUUAAAGAAGGUGCUACAUUCUACCAUAUUAUUGGAUAGAUAACAC
rfam:Flavobacterium sp. Leaf359 contig_6, whole genome shotgun sequence.